rnacentral:rRNA from 1 species
AACGAACGCUGGCGGCAGGCCUAACACAUGCAAGUCGAGCGAGGACUUCGGUUCUAGCGGCGGACGGGUGAGUAACGCGUGGGAAUGUGCCCUUCUCUACGGAAUAGCCCUGGGAAACUGGGAGUAAUACCGUAUACGCCCUAUUGGGGAAAGAUUUAUCGGAGAAGGAUCAGCCCGCGUUGGAUUAGGUAGUUGGUGGGGUAAUGGCCUACCAAGCCGAUGAUCCAUAGCUGGUUUGAGAGGAUGAUCAGCCACACUGGGACUGAGACACGGCCCAGACUCCUACGGGAGGCAGCAGUGGGGAAUCUUAGACAAUGGGGGCAACCCUGAUCGAGCCAUGCCGCGUGAGUGAUGAAGGCCUUAGGGUUGUAAAGCUCUUUCAGCUGGGAAGAUAAUGACGGUACCAGCAGAAGAAGCCCCGGCUAACUCCGUG